CACGUAGGCACCAAGCGUUGUCCGGAUUUAUUGGGCGUAAAGAGCUCGUAGGCGGUUCGGUAAGUCGGGUGUGAAAACUUUGGGCUCAACCCAAAGCGUGCACUCGAUACUGCCGUGACUAGAGUUCGGUAGGGGAGCGGGGAAUUCCUAGUGUAGCGGUGAGAUGCGCAGAUAUUAGGAGGAACACCGGUGGCGAAGGCGCCGCUCUGGGCCGAAACUGACGCUGAGGAGCGAAAGCGUGGGUAGCAAACAGG
rnacentral:rRNA from 1 species